UGAAUAUUGGGGAAUAUUGUCUCUCGUAGAACAUAAAAUUCUACUCGGGACAAUAUUCCCCAAUAUUCA
rnacentral:sRNA from 1 species